rnacentral:rRNA from 1 species
UACGAAGGGGGCUAGCGUUGUUCGGAUUUACUGGGCGUAAAGCGCACGUAGGCGGAUUGGUCAGUUAGGGGUGAAAUCCUGGAGCUCAACUCCAGAACUGCCUUUAAUACUGCCAGUCUCGAGUCCGGAAGAGGUAAGUGGAACUCCUAGUGUAGAGGUGGAAUUCGUAGAUAUUAGGAAGAACACCAGUGGCGAAGGCGGCUUACUGGUCCGGUACUGACGCUGAGGUGCGAAAGCGUGGGGAGCAGACAGG